ensembl:ncRNA asRNA:CR44107 antisense RNA:CR44107
GUCGUGAUUGACCAGUCGUUCGCGCAUUCCAUACCGCUGCCUGAUGAUGGUGAAAAGAGAUGGUGCGAGCGCCAUAUGACCAGGCCGGCGUACAGGCCGAUGGAGACCAAGGCCAGUGCCACCACCACGAUGCCGAGCAGCACGUGUCCCUGGCUAACCGCAUCCGCCUGCACGUUCAGCGGGCUCAUCUCGAUGUUCUCGUUGGCGAAGGUUUCGGUGUCCGUGCUGAAGAUCACACCGCGUCCCUUGAAACGCUCCUCCAGAUCGUCCACGUCAUCCAUGCUACUGUCGUCUUGGUCGGCAUCGCCGGAUUCCAGGAUCUCCACAUCGUACUUGUAGUUCUGUGCCAAAACCAAAUUGGUGGCCGAGUUCAGUUGGUC